AAGUGUGUGCCUGGUACCAGGGGAGGCCGGAGGAAGGAGCUGGAUCCCCUGGAACUGUUAUGGACCAUUGUGAGCUGCCAUGUGGGCACCGGGAACUGAACCCAGGGCCUCUGCAAGAGCAACAGGUGCUCUGAGCACUGAGCCACUGCACUGGUCUCAGCCGUCUUGCUGAGCAGCACUGUCUUAAGCACGCUGCAUGCACUCACACCCUUUACUAACCGAUACUUGGCUUCAAGAACAUAGAUGCUGUGGACUUUUUCUUUUUCUUUUGAGACAGCAUUUGCUAUGUAGCCACGGCUGGCCUAGAGAUCCCAAUGUAGAGCAGGGGCUGGCUUUGAACUCAAGAGAUGAGCCUGCCUCUGCCCCUGGAGUGCUAGGAUUAAAGGCAUGCGCCACCAUACCUGGCUCCUUACAGACAUUCUUCUGGGGGGCUACUUCAUUGGGCUCUAUCAUCUACCACCCUUCCAACCCUUAUUCCACCUCAAUCCCUUUUAAGACCC
rnacentral:lncRNA from 1 species